UACUGAGGGUGCAAGCGUUAAUCGGAAUUACUGGGCGUAAAGCGCACGUAGGCGGUUUUUUAAGUCAGAUGUGAAAGCCCCGGGCUCAACCUGGGAAUUGCAUUUGAAACUGGGAAACUAGAGUGUGUGAGAGGGGGGUAGAAUUCCAAGUGUAGCGGUGAAAUGCGUAGAGAUUUGGAGGAAUACCAGUGGCGAAGGCGGCCCCCUGGCACAACACUGACGCUCAGGUGCGAAAGCGUGGGGAGCAAACAGG
rnacentral:rRNA from 1 species